UUGUAAAGCUCUUGACUCAGUUAUAGGUCCAAGUAAUGAAAGCAGUACUGAUAAUAGCACCUCAACGGCAGAGGAUGCUAGUAAAUUAUACUCCCAUGCUUAUGAAUGGAGAUUAAACAUGGAGACUCUCCAGUCAGGGAGAGAUAUCUCACUGGCAAAAAGUUUUCCAUGGAUUUUCCUACGAUCAAUGGAAACUUUUGCGGCCUUAAAAACAGAUUUGGGUAUGCCCAAGUCGUCGAUUCAGUUGCGAGCUCUACCUCAGGGUUGCUUAAGUAUGGUGGUAUAGCUAAGCUACAUUUUGAAGAGCCAGCUGAGAGAGAAGGCGAAUUAGAAAAUGAGGAAAUAAAGGUAGAAAUUAAGACAUAUGUUUGAGGACAACACCUUUUGUACCGGAGCUGCUUUUGUCCCUAAACAAAGUGAUAGUACCAGGACUGGUAGUAUUAUUCUUGAAGAAGUAGAAGAAGAUGAUGGAUGGGUUAUUACUUUUGUUCACAAUGAAGAUACCAAAGUAUCACAAGUUUAUGUUAUUGAUACCAAGGAGUUUUGCAGUGAGCCUGUAGCCAAAAUUACAUUGCCCUGCAGAGUUCCAUAUGGAUUUCAUGGAGCUUUCAUGCCAACCUCAUCGAACACCUAAUCUUAAUUUGCAUCUGUCCAUGAAUAUAUGGUUUCUUAUUUGGUUGUAGAUACUGUGUUUCAUAUAUGGUGGUUAAAGUCGUA